AUUGAACGCUGGCGGCAGGCCUAACACAUGCAAGUCGAACGGUAACAGGAAACAGCUUGCUGUUUCGCUGACGAGUGGCGGACGGGUGAGUAAUGUCUGGGAAACUGCCUGAUGGAGGGGGAUAACUACUGGAAACGGUAGCUAAUACCGCAUAACGUCGCAAGCCCAAAGAGGGGGACCUUCGGGCCUCUUGCCAUCGGAUGUGCCCAGAUGGGAUUAGCUAGUAGGUGGGGUAACGGCUCACCUAGGCGACGAUCCCUAGCUGGUCUGAGAGGAUGACCAGCCACACUGGAACUGAGACACGGUCCAGACUCCUACGGGAGGCAGCAGUGGGGAAUAUUGCACAAUGGGCGCAAGCCUGAUGCAGCCAUGCCGCGUGUAUGAAGAAGGCCUUCGGGUUGUAAAGUACUUUCAGCGGGGAUGAAGGGAGUAAAGUUAAUACCUUUGCUCAUUGACGUUACCCGCAGAAGAAGCACCGGCUAACUCCGUG
rnacentral:rRNA from 1 species